CAGUCGCCACGGUAAUACGUAGGUGGCAAGCGUUAUCCGGAAUUAUUGGGCGUAAAGCGCGCGUAGGCGGUUUUUUAAGUCUGAUGUGAAAGCCCACGGCUCAACCGUGGAGGGUCAUUGGAAACUGGAAAACUUGAGUGCAGAAGAGGAAAGUGGAAUUCCAUGUGUAGCGGUGAAAUGCGUAGAUAUAUGGAGGAACACCGGUGGCGAAAGCGGCUCUCUGGUCUGUAACUGACGCUGAGGCUCGGAAGCGUGGGGAGCAAACAGGAUUAGAUACCCGUGUAGUCCCUGUCUCUUAUAA
rnacentral:rRNA from 1 species